GAUGAACGCUGGCGGCGUGCCUAAUACAUGCAAGUCGAGCGAACUGAUUAGAAGCUUGCUUCUAUGACGUUAGCGGCGGACGGGUGAGUAACACGUGGGCAACCUGCCUGUAAGACUGGGAUAACUUCGGGAAACCGAAGCUAAUACCGGAUAGGAUCUUCUCCUUCAUGGGAGAUGAUUGAAAGAUGGUUUCGGCUAUCACUUACAGAUGGGCCCGCGGUGCAUUAGCUAGUUGGUGAGGUAACGGCUCACCAAGGCAACGAUGCAUAGCCGACCUGAGAGGGUGAUCGGCCACACUGGGACUGAGACACGGCCCAGACUCCUACGGGAGGAAGCAGUAGGGAAUCUUCCGCAAUGGACGAAAGUCUGACGGAGCAACGCCGCGUGAGUGAUGAAGGCUUUCGGGUCGUAAAACUCUGUUGUUAGGGAGGAACAAGUACAAGAGUAACUGCUUGUACCUUGACGGUACCUAACCAGAAAGCCACGGCUAACUACGUGCCAGCAGCCGCCGUAA
rnacentral:rRNA from 1 species